rnacentral:rRNA from 1 species
GAUGAACGCUGGCGGCGUGCCUAAUACAUGCAAGUCGAGCGAACAGACGAGGAGCUUGCUCCUCUGACGUUAGCGGCGGACGGGUGAGUAACACGUGGAUAACCUACCUAUAAGACUGGGAUAACUUCGGGAAACCGGAGCUAAUACCGGAUAAUAUAUUGAACCGCAUGGUUCAAUAGUGAAAGACGGUUUUGCUGACACUUAUAGAUGGAUCCGCGCCGCAUUAGCUAGUUGGUAAGGUAACGGCUUACCAAGGCGACGAUGCGUAGCCGACCUGAGAGGGUGAUCGGCCACACUGGAACUGAGACACGGUCCAGACUCCUACGGGAGGCAGCAGUAGGGAAUCUUCCGCAAUGGGCGAAAGCCUGACGGAGCAACGCCGCGUGAGUGAUGAAGGCCUUCGGAUCGUAAAACUCUGUUAUUAGGGAAGAACAAAUGUGUAAGUAACUAUGCACGUCUUGACGGUACCUAAUCAGAAAGCCACGGCUAACUACGUG